rnacentral:rRNA from 1 species
UACGAAGGGGGCUAGCGUUGUUCGGAAUCACUGGGCGUAAAGAGCGCGCAGGCGGUCGAUCAAGUCGAGUGUGAAAGCCCCCGGCUCAACUGGGGAGGGUCAUUCGAUACUGAUCGACUCGAAGGCAGGAGAGGGUAGUGGAAUUCCCGGUGUAGUGGUGAAAUGCGUAGAUAUCGAGAGGAACACCUGCGGCGAAGGCGGGUUGCUGGGCUGAUACUGACGCUGAGGCGCGAAAGCCAGGGGAGCGAACGGG